AGUGAACGCUGGCGGCAGGCCUAAUACAUGCAAGUCGAACGGCAGCACAGUGGAGCUUGCUCCAUGGGUGGCGAGUGGCGGACGGGUGAGGAAUACAUGGGAAUCUGCCCAGUCGUGGGGGAUAACGUAUGGAAACGUACGCUAAUACCGCAUGCGCCCUUCGGGGAAAGUCGGGGACCGCAAGGCCUGACGCGAUUGGAUGAGCCCAUGUUCGAUUAGCUAGUUGGCGGGGUAACGGCCCACCAAGGCGACGAUCGAUAGCUGGUCUGAGAGGAUGAUCAGCCACACUGGAACUGAGACACGGUCCAGACUCCUACGGGAGGCAGCAGUAGGGAAUAUUGGACAAUGGGCGCAAGCCUGAUCCAGCCAUGCCGCGUGAGUGAAGAAGGCCCUCGGGUUGUAAAGCUCUUUUGUUGGGGAAGAAAAGACAGUUGGUUAAUACCCGAUUGUUCUGACGGUACCCAAAGAAUAAACACCGGCUAACUUCGUGCCAGCAGCCGCGGUAA
rnacentral:rRNA from 1 species